rnacentral:rRNA from 1 species
CAAGAGCAUGUCUGCCUCAGCGUCG